rnacentral:rRNA from 1 species
AUAAGCAAUUUAUACAGUGAAACUGCGAAUGGCUCAUUAAAUCAGUUAUCGUUUAUUUGAUAGUUCCUUUACUACAUGGUAUAACUGUGGUAAUUCUAGAGCUAAUACAUGCUUAAAAUCUCGACCCUUUGGAAGAGAUGUAUUUAUUAGAUAAAAAAUCAAUGUCUUCGGACUCUUUGAUGAUUCAUAAUAACUUUUCGAAUCGCAUGGCCUUGUGCUGGCGAUGGUUCAUUCAAAUUUCUGCCCUAUCAACUUUCGAUGGUAGGAUAGUGGCCUACCAUGGUUUCAACGGGUAACGGGGAAUAAGGGUUCGAUUCCGGAGAGGGAGCCUGAGAAACGGCUACCACAUCCAAGGAAGGCAGCAGGCGCGCAAAUUACCCAAUCCUAAUUCAGGGAGGUAGUGACAAUAAAUAACGAUACAGGGCCCAUUCGGGUCUUGUAAUUGGAAUGAGUACAAUGUAAAUACCUUAACGAGGAACAA